CGUAAAUUUUGGAUGACCCAUUUUCAGUUUGCAUAUAUGACUGGGUGAUAAUUUUUCAAAAUCAUCAAUUGCAUAUUUAUAUUUCAUUUGCAGGUGCUCACUGGAUAAAUGUAUAAUAAAAUCGUGUCUAUUGAUGAUCUUUUUCCACUGGAGGGAAUAGAUUAAUGGAUAAUUCGUGAAAAACAAUUUAAUUGGUUUAUGAUGUUUCAGAAGGGAAAAUCGCCUGGAUAUUUUACAAACUCAACCAGAGCUUUGGCCAAAAGAACAUUUUUAAAUUAUUAAUUCAAGAACGCGUUUUGGAAGAAAAUAUAAGAAAAAAUAUAAAACGUUCAAAUAAGUGGUUUGCUUUGGAGUAUUCAAGUGAUGGUCCUUUGAGGAACCCAAUUUUAUGACCGAUGAAGACUUUAGUAACACAAGUACAAAUGACAAUAACAGUCAGAUUUGGAAUCCUUCUCGGUUUUCAAAACUUUUGUCAACAUUUUUGGAUAGUUAUUUACCUUCAUUACCUGAAAUAGAACGGCGUAGGUCAUCAAGAACAGCUUCUGUCUAUUUAGAACUCCAGCCACCAAUUGUUUCAAGUACUUUUGGUACUACUGAUUCUCGAAUUUCUGAACAACAUUGGAUGGAAGAAAAACUGUCCAACAUACAAUGGGAAAUGCCAAGUCAUGAUGAUCCUCCAUUCAUAGAUUAUACUGUACCAAAUUCUGGUACGAAGGAUAUUUAUGUCGGAUUAUUAGCUAUUGCGAAUCCAAUAGACUACUAUGACUUGUUUCUAACACCUAACAUUCUACAAUAUAUCACAGUACAAACCAACUUAUACGCAACACAGUGUCUCUUAUCUUCAGAUUCUUCUGCUAGAUCAAGAAACCACCAAUGGUGGUAACCAGAGACGAUAUGUUGAAAUUUUUGGCUCUAGUUUGAUGGAUGGGUUUGGUGAAAUUGCCAAGUAUUACUGGAGAAACCACAAAAUGUAUGGUAUUAUCUCUAGCUCGUACAGUUAUGCCUCGGAAUAGAUUCGAGCUGAUUUUGAAAUUUGCUCAUUUUGCCAACAACCAAACUGCUGAUACUGAGGACAUACUAUAAAAGACGUACCCAAUAUGUUUAUAAAAAACUAUUAAAAUGUUUACACACCAGGAGAAAAAUUUUGUGUCCAUGAGCCUUGGUCGCUUGGCGCUGCAGACUUAGUUUCUGCCAAUAUAUUCCAAACAAAAGAGAAUAUGGAAUAAGUGUUCAAGUGUAAUUGAAAGGACCUAACACAGAAGUCUCAGAAAACGUAGUACUAUCUUUGACAGAGGUUUUUUUCAACAAGAACAGGACCAUGUACAGAGACAACUAUUAUUCAAGUAUUCCACUUGCAUUGUGAGUGCGUAAAAAAAGACACAUUUAGUACGGACAUUUAGAAGUAACGGAAAAUUCUUGUCUUAUGAAGUUACCAACACAAAACUAAAAAAAUGCGAAAUAGCAGCUCAGCAAUCAAGUGAAGGCAUUGCAGCUUUGAAGUAGCGUGACAAGCGAUAUGGGCUUAUACUUUCCACCAAGCAAUCUGGUCUAAAAACUGACGCCAAAAGGAAUAGAAGAGGUGAAAGCAUAAGAAAACAUGCAUGUAUUGAAGGUUAUAAUCUAGCAUUGUUUAAAAUUCUGUACAAUUUUAUUCAUAAUCAACUUUAGUAAGUAAUAUCCCUUUUAGUGUGUCUUAUUUCAGUGUCUUAUUUCAAGUCGAGUCUUGUCACUUGUCCAACUAUUCAUUAAAGAAAAUAUUCUUUCCGUAGUUUAAAACAUUAUAAAAGAAACACUAAUUAUAAAUCAGAGGAGACCUAAAAACAACAUUCAGAAGCAUAAACUAUUUUUUAUAUAUGCUCUUCUCAAGGGUUAUACUUUUUAUAAUUGUAUUAAAUUUUUUUGUUACUG